rnacentral:rRNA from 1 species
AGCGAACGCUGGCGGCAGGCCUAAUACAUGCAAGUCGAGCGCACCUUCGGGUGAGCGGCGGACGGGUGAGUAACGCGUGGGAAUGUGCCCUUUGGUGCGGAACAACUGAGGGAAACUUCAGCUAAUACCGUAUGUGCCCUUCGGGGGAAAGAUUUAUCGCCAUUGGAGCAGCCCGCGUUGGAUUAGGUAGUUGGUGAGGUAAAGGCUCACCAAGCCUACGAUCCAUAGCNGGUCUGAGAGGAUGAUCAGCCACACUGGGACUGAGACACGGCCCAGACUCCUACGGGAGGCAGCAGUAGGGAAUCUUGCGCAAUGGGCGAAAGCCUGACGCAGCCAU